UCUUGAUUAAAGUGGCGCACGGGUGAGUAACACGUGAGCAAUCUGCCCUUGGAUUUGGAAUAACUCGUCGAAAGACGUGCUAAUACCGAAUGACACGAGAGUAUCGCAUGAUACCUUCGUUAAAGCUGCAGCAAUGUAGCGUCCGAGGAUGAGCUUGCGUCUGAUUAGCUAGUUGGUAGGGUAACGGCCUACCAAGGCAACGAUCAGUAGCUGGUCUGAGAGGAUGAUCAGCCACACUGGAACUGAGACACGGUCCAGACUCCUACGGGAGGCAGCAGUGAGGAAUAUUGGGCAAUGCCCGCAAGGGUGACCCAGCAACGCCGCGUGGAGGAUGAAAGCCGUAAGGUUGUAAACUCCUGUGAGAGGGGACGAAUGAUUACGUAUCGUAAGGUGCGUAAAGUGACUGUACCCUC
rnacentral:rRNA from 1 species